rnacentral:rRNA from 1 species
GAUGAACGCUAGCGGGAGGCCUAACACAUGCAAGCCGAGCGGAAUUGUUUCUUCGGAAAUGAGAGAGCGGCGUACGGGUGCGUAACACGUGUGCAACCUGCCUUUAUCUGGGGGAUAGCCUUUCGAAAGGAAGAUUAAUACUCCAUAAUAUAUUGAACGGCAUCGUUUAAUAUUGAAAGCUCCGGCGGAUAGAGAUGGGCACGCGCAAGAUUAGCUAGUUGGUGAGGUAACGGCUCACCAAGGCGAUGAUCUUUAGGGGGCCUGAGAGGGUGAUCCCCCACACUGGUACUGAGACACGGACCAGACUCCUACGGGAGGCAGCAGUGAGGAAUAUUGGUCAAUGGGUGCAAGCCUGAACCAGCCAUCCCGCGUGAGGGACGACUGCCCUAUGGGUUGUAAACUUCUUUUGUAUAGGGAUAAACCUACCCUCGUGAGGGUAGCUGAAGGUACUAUACGAAUAAGCACCGGCUAACUCCGUGCCAGCCGCCGCAGUAA